CAGUGAUAAACUGGAGGAAGGUGGGGAUGACGUCAAGUCAUCAUGGCCCUUACGACCAGGGCUACACACGUGCUACAAUGGCGCAUACAAAGAGAAGCGACCUCGCGAGAGCAAGCGGACCUCAUAAAGUGCGUCGUAGUCCGGAUUGGAGUCUGCAACUCGACUCCAUGAAGUCGGAAUCGCUAGUAAUCGUGGAUCAGAAUGCCACGGUGAAUACGUUCCCGGGCCUUGUACACACCGCCCGUCACACCAUGGGAGUGGGUUGCAAAAGAAGUAGGUAGCUUAACCUUCGGGAGGGCGCUUACCACUUUGUGAUUCAUGACU
rnacentral:rRNA from 1 species